rnacentral:antisense_RNA from 1 species
CUUGAGCGAGCCCAGCCACAGCGGGUCCUCGCGGUCCUGGCCGUAGGUGGCCAGCAGGGCCUGCGCCUC